rnacentral:lncRNA from 1 species
UCUAGGUUUUCGGUCCGACCCCAAUAAAAAGCUCAUCCAACUGUUGUUUACGAGCCCCCAGCUUGGAGGAAGAGGCCAUGAUUUCUAAUCACUGAACAACCAGCCCUUGAUCAGACUUACUAAAGAGUCAUUUCCAAGUUAUGUAGUUGGGCCCCCGGGGACUGGGAAUCAGAAGGCUCGUUUGAUAUUUUUUUUUUUAUUGGGUUAAUGAGCAGAUGGAUGGAGCUGCCGGCUAAGAGAUAAUUCACGGGGAAUAGACCCAUUUACCCUGUGUGUGACAGAGCUGCCUUCCGAGAUGGGACAACGCUCUGUCACCCAGCUGCUGACAGGGUGGGCCAUGGUCUCACGCGCCCCCUCCUCUUUCCUUUGGUUCACUUGUCUGCCUGCAUCACCCAUCCCUAUGCUGCACAGGUGACAGACCUGGGCUUCGUCUAUUCCUAGCCACGUGGCCUCGGUCAGGUCCCUUCCCCCUGCCUCGGGAUCCUCAUCUAUAAAAUAAGGAUUGGGGCGCCUGGGUGGCUCAGUCGGCUGAGCGUCCGACUUCAGCUCAGGUCCGGAUCUCGCAGUCCGUGAGUUCGAGCCCCACGCCGGGCUCUGUGCUGACAGCUCGGAGCCUGGAGCCUGUUUCAGAUUCUGCGUCUCCCUCUCUCUCUGCCCCUUCCCCGCUCAUGCUCUGUCUCUCUCGAGAAAGUCUCUGAAAAAUGAAUAAAUGUUAAAAAAAUUUUUUUAAUAAUAAAUAAAUCAAUAAAUCAAAUAAGGAUAAUAAUAACAGUAGCCACUUCCUGGGGCGGUUAUAAUGGUCAUAUUAGGUAACCCACGUAAAAGGAUUUAUUUAGCUGUAGUGGGGAUUCGACGUUUCUUGGCUGGAAACGUGAUUACCGAUCAUCUCCUCGCAGGCUCAACUGACCCAGUUCCAGUCCCCACUUGCAAGAGUGUUGCCCCGGGUUCUGUGGAAGCCUGACUUGCUUUGGGCCCCCGGGCAAAGCCUGUCUGACUCUGUUUCCCCACCGUUGACUGCGUCUGGGAAUCCCUCCUUGCCGGUUUUCGCCAGGUUGUGCUGCGGAACAAACAAUCCCCAGAUCUUCGUGGCUCAUCCCCACCCUGGUUUAUCUCUCACUCACAUCACGUGUCAGCUGAAGUCCUGCUCAAGUUCUCCUCCUUCUAGAUCCGGUCUACAGGAAGAAAGAGAAAAAUCAAAGUGCAAAAGGGACGAGCCAGCCAGAUCUAAUCCCUUUUAAAGGCUUUUGCCAGGAGCCCACCCCUUCCUCGUUCGUGUGUGCUCAUUCUGCAGCCUCCUACGGCAUGAGCAGCUCUUCCAGCACCCAGUUCUGCAGUGUGUGACAGCCAGCAGCACUGAGGGGCCGGCAGCUUCUCCCAGCAUCCCCACCUAGGGCGAUUUUAUAUCCCAGUGUCUCCACUGGGAUACCUUCUGUGAAUAGCUUUCCGCAGCACCACAGAAGGCAAUUUUCUGGCAAGUUCCACUAACACAGACCGCAGUGACUUGUCUACUCAGCUCUGAGAGUAGCGGCUGCUCCUUAUCCUGUGUUCUCUUCACUUCCCACUAGCCCCUCCCUCAGGACUGCAAUCCCCGUGAUAGUUUGUCAUUCUUUAUAUUAAACUUUCCCUGUCCCAAUUACCGUGUGGUUUUUCUCUCCUGAUCGAAUUCAGAUUAAUGCACCCACCCAGCAUUACUGGCUCCCAUCUCAUUGGCCAAGACUAGCUCAGGGCUCUUUAGCUGGACAGGCAGUCGCUUCAGCCAACCCAAGAUUCUGCUAAUCAGGAAGAGGGGACCUGAGGUCUUACGUAAGCAAUUGGCAGUGUUUGCUUCGAUAGCAAUAAAUCGAUAAGGAUAUUGCCCA